rnacentral:rRNA from 1 species
CCUACGGGUGGCAGCAGUCGAGAAUCAUUCACAAUGGGGGAAACCCUGAUGGUGCGACGCCGCGUGGGGGAAUGAAGGUCUUCGGAUUGUAAACCCCUGUCAUGUGGGAGCAAAUUCAAAAGAUAGUACCACAAGAGGAAGAGACGGAUAACUCGGUGCCAGCAGCCGCGGUAAUACAGAGGUCUCAAGCGUUUUUCGGAAUCACUGGGCGUAAAGGGUGCGGAGGCUGUUUCGUAAGUCGUGUGUGAAAGGCGCGGGCUCAACCCGCGGACGGCACAUGAUACUGCGAGACUAGAGUAAUGGAGGGGGAACCGGAAUGCUCGGUGUAGCAGUGAAAUGCGUAGAUAUCGAGAGGAACACUCGUGGCGAAGGCGGGUUCCUGGACAUUAACUGACGCUGAGGCACGAAGGCCAGGGGAGCGAAAGGGAUUAGAUACCCCAGUAGUC